rnacentral:rRNA from 1 species
AUUGAACUCUGGCGGCAUGCCUUACACAUGCGAAGUCGAACGGUAACGCGGGGGGCAACCCUGGCGACGAGUGGCGAACGGGUGAGUAAUACAUCGGAACGUACCCGAGUGGUGGGGGAUAGCUCGGCGAAAGCCGGAUUAAUACCGCAUACGACCUACGGGUGAAAGCGGGGGAGUCGCAAGACCUCGCGCUAUUGGAGCGGCCGAUGUCGGAUUAGGCUAGUUGGUGAGGUAAAGGCUCACCAAGGCUACGAUCCGUAGCUGGUCUGAGAGGACGGACCAGCCACACUGGGACUGAGACACAGCCCAGACUCCUACGGGAGGCAGCAGUGGGGAAUUUUAGGACAAUGGGCGAAAGCCUGAUCCAGCCAUGCCGCGUGUGUGAAGAAGGCCUUAGGGUUG